GUAUGUGCUCAGAGGAUCCGCUAAGGCUAG
rnacentral:piRNA from 1 species